CCUACGGGGGGGCUGCAGUGGGGAAUAUUGGACAAUGGGGGCAACCCUGAUCCAGCCAUGCCGCGUGUGUGAAGAAGGCCCUCGGGUUGUAAAGCACUUUCAGUGAGGAAGAACGCCUGGUGGUUAAUACCCAUCAGGAAAGACAUCACUCACAGAAGAAGCACCGGCUAACUCCGUGCCAGCAGCCGCGGUAAUACGGAGGGUGCGAGCGUUAAUCGGAAUUACUGGGCGUAAAGCGCGCGUAGGUGGCUUGAUAAGCCGGUUGUGAAAGCCCCGGGCUCAACCUGGGAACGGCAUCCGGAACUGUCAAGCUAGAGUGCAGGAGAGGAAGGUAGAAUUCCCGGUGUAGCGGUGAAAUGCGUAGAGAUCGGGAGGAAUACCAGUGGCGAAGGCGGCCUUCUGGACUGACACUGACACUGAGGUGCGAAAGCGUGGGUAGCAAACAGGAUUAGAUACCCCGGUAGUC
rnacentral:rRNA from 1 species